GAUGUAAUUCAAAUUUUUUAAAACGAACAUAUAUUAUUCAAUCGAUGAAGAAAUAAUAUGUGUAUAAUGUUCCACAUUGCUUAAAAAAAUUAGACAUUGGUUCAGAGCCAUACUAUAAAAAGGACCAAAAUGAUUUCAGUUACGAAGAAGCAGGAACCUUGAUUUAUCAGGCGUCCAAAAUUAAAAUAGUUAUCCGGUUUACUCGGGUUCUUUAUUUUAAAGAAUAGAAACUUUACAAAGUUUCAAAAAUUAUAAAUA
rnacentral:sRNA from 1 species